rnacentral:rRNA from 1 species
UACGGAGGGUGCAAGCGUUAUCCGGAUUCACUGGGCUUAAAGGGUGCGUAGGCGGGCAGUUAAGUCAGUGGUGAAAUCCUUGAGCUCAACUCGAGAACUGCCAUUGAUACUAUCUGUCUUGAAUAUUGUGGAGGUAAGCGGAAUAUGUCAUGUAGCGGUGAAAUGCUUAGAUAUGACAUAGAACACCUAUUGCGAAGGCAGCUUACUACGCAUAUAUUGACGCUGAGGCACGAAAGCGUGGGGAGCAAACAGG